GUCAGCGCAGCGCUGGGAUCAUGGCUGGAGAGCUGCAGCGAAGCUUGCGAUGGGGAUGGCGCUUGCCCGCCUGUUCCUGACCGGGAGCAGCCAGGGGCAGGCCGUGGGGAGCUGCAGAGGUCGCAGGACGCCAGCACUGCUGUCCUGGAAAGGCUCAUGGGGCUAGAGGCUGAGGUCAAGUAUGUCAGCACUGAGCUGCGUGCAGAGAAAUUACUGUGGAGCAGCAGGUACCUGGAGCUGCUGAGGGAGCAGCAGGAGCUCCGUGAACAGUUCCAGGAGUGGGGACGGAGCCAGGGGCCCGAGGCCAAGGACACCCUGGAGAUGCAGAGCAAAGCCGAGGCUCCCAGUGCGGAUGGAUCUGAUGGGUGGUGCAUGGGAGACAGCAGCUGGGGCCUCCAGACGCUGUCAGGUGAAGAAACCUCCGGGGG